UUUAACGAGGAUCCAUUGGAGGGCAAGUCUGGUGCCAGCAGCCGCGGUAACUCCAGCUCCAAUAGCGUAUAUUAAAGUUGUUGCGGUUAAAAAGCUCGUAGUUGGAUUUCUGUUUCGGCCGGGCGGUGCCGCCUGAUAAUCAAGGGCGCGCACUGCCUUGGGAGCGUUGGUGUCAAAGCCGCGCUCUUUUAACGGUCGGACAAUACCACCGGAGAGGUGACGGGCUGGCGGGGUUGGGUCUGGCUUUCACUGUCAGUUCCCACCCGUAAUCGUCCGAGGUGCUCUUAACCGAGUGUCUCGGGCGGCCGGUAACGUUUACUUUGAACAAAUUAGAGUGCUUAAAGCAGGUGAUUUUCGCCUGAAUAUCACAGCAUGGAAUGAUGGAAUAGGACCUCGGUCUUAUUUUGUUGGUUUUCUAGACCCGAGGUAA
rnacentral:rRNA from 1 species